UGUUCUGUGGCUUAGUCGAUUGAAGUGCCGGUCUAGCGAAUACGGAGCAGUGGGUUCAAAUCCCAUCAGGACGC
rfam:Aedes albopictus isolate Foshan contig107345, whole genome shotgun sequence.